rnacentral:rRNA from 1 species
GAUGAACGCUGGCGGCGUGCCUAAUACAUGCAAGUCGAGCGAACGGACGAGAAGCUUGCUUCUCUGAUGUUAGCGGCGGACGGGUGAGUAACACGUGGAUAACCUACCUAUAAGACUGGGAUAACUUCGGGAAACCGGAGCUAAUACCGGAUAAUAUUUUGAACCGCAUGGUUCAAAAGUGAAAGACGGUCUUGCUGUCACUUAUAGAUGGAUCCGCGCUGCAUUAGCUAGUUGGUAAGGUAACGGCUUACCAAGGCAACGAUGCAUAGCCGACCUGAGAGGGUGAUCGGCCACACUGGAACUGAGACACGGUCCAGACUCCUACGGGAGGCAGCAGUAGGGAAUCUUCCGCAAUGGGCGAAAGCCUGACGGAGCAACGCCGCGUGAGUGAUGAAGGUCUUCGGAUCGUAAAACUCUGUUAUUAGGGAAGAACAUAUGUGUAAGUAACUGCGCACAUCUUGACAGUACCUAAUCAGAAAGCCACGGCUAACUACGUG